CCCCACUUUCCCUCACUUUCUCAUCCCCCAAACACCACCUGAAGCUUCCCUCCUCCUCCUUCAGGCCUUACUCUCGCAAAUCUCCGAUCAAGAUGUCAACAACAACUAUCGAACACAUUGUCCUCUUCAAAGUCAAAGACAACACGGACCCCACCGAAGUCAACACCAUGCUCACCUCUCUCAACGCCCUCGUCUCUCUUGACCCCGUGCUCCACCUUGCCGCCGCUCCACUCUACCGCACCAAAUCCUCUCCCAUCCCCUUCACU
rnacentral:misc_RNA from 1 species